UACGAAGGGGGCUAGCGUUGUUCGGAAUUACUGGGCGUAAAGCGCGCGCAGGCGGUCUUCCAAGUCAGUGGUGAAAGCCCGGAGCUCAACUCCGGAAUUGCCAUUGAAACUGUGAGACUGGAGUACGAGAGAGGUGAGUGGAAUUCCCAGUGUAGAGGUGAAAUUCGUAGAUAUUGGGAAGAACACCGGUGGCGAAGGCGGCGACCUGGUCCUUGACUGACGCUGAGGCGCGAAAGCGUGGGGAGCAAACAGG
rnacentral:rRNA from 1 species